UUAUUUGGUGGUCUACCAAACCAAAAUGGCCGCCGUAGUGCAAGCACCUGCUCUAGAUUUAAGUAUACCAACACUUUAGACACGAUUUCACUUUCGCGAUACCUCCAAAAAGUUAGUUUGUGUGAUGGCAUCGACCCUUAUGCGUUGAAGAAGAACGAUUUCGGUACGGAUUUGGAAUUGUAUACAGCAGUAGAGUUUCCCGACAUCCUUCUACACCACGAAACAGAUGAAAUGGGAGUAUGGAAGCCUACAACUUCUUUGUGUGGAAGACAACUUCUUUGUGAAAGACCUUGGCGUGAAAAGGCUGCCCGACAAGUCCUACAUCGUUUAUGCCCGUUUCAACCACUCAGAGAUCUACGGAGACUCUACUGAAGACAUGGCUAUUAGUGAAAGAAGAUGGAGAGGCGAUUACAGCGCACUACAACUGCAUGGCUGGUUAAGAAAAACAUAACAUUUCUCUCACAACGUGACGAGACGAGUUUGUAUUGUUGCUGUUGAAUUUGUUACGUAUUUUAAGAAUCUAAGCUACCCACACAUAGACCAAAAUGAAGCAGGACCAAACAUAUAAGCCGUAAAUACUAUACAUAGCCACAAGGGGAGCAAGACCUUAUUAGAGGCUGCUCCAGCCACAGAUGGCAGCGCCUUUUAAAUAUAUGAAGAAGCCGAAGCCAUUACGGCACCCCGGCCACGCCCACUAGGCCACGCCCACUUGGCGGUCUCUACCUGAGGACACGAGGUGGGGAUCGAGAGAGAGAUUUUCAGCUACACCCGCGAAGGGUCACGGGCCUCUGCCCGUUGCCCAUAGAAGAGGAGAGUUCAAUAGGUAGACGGCGCAGCAAGCCACCCGGGCCUUAGCCCGGGGGGCUUGAAGUAGAUCACGGUAUUUUCCUCUCACUCGCGUUAGAAACAAUUCCCUCCGUAUAGCUUCAGUUACCAUACCGAAACAUGCCGACGACUUUAUAAUAAAUGAAGUGAGUUAAAGCAACCCGGGAUUGGACAACUUUCUUCGAGAAUACUCAACAAAUUACUUUCCAUGCCCAUCGAUCGCAAACUCUAAAUGCCACAGAAUACAGUAAAUAUGUUUAUUUCCGCUUUUUUUUUUGUGCACAGGCUUGCAGAAUCCUGCUCUCACGUUGGAGCUGUACUAUAUGCCUUGGAGACAUGUGUGAGAAUGAGAGUCAGUCACGUGCACAAUGGGGAAAAGUAAAUGUCUCAUGCCAUCCCAUAUCAACAAGAUCCCAGUGGCUGCUGUAUCAGAUAUGGACUUUGCAUCUGCAAGAGUGUGGUAGAAAUUAACCUUACAUUCUAUGUUAAACUAUGAUUAUUAUUAGGCCUACAUAUCAUAUAUAUACUUUAAUGGUGGAGAAGAGCUGAUCACCUCUAACCUAGAUGUUGUGUACCGUGUGACACCAGAGUGGGUCCAGGAUAUUCUCACCUGAUGGGCCAUGUGAUACAUCAGUCAGAGAGUCCAGUCUACUUCCAUAUUGAUGUACUCUCUGAAGACAAUGCUUACAUUCACACACGUGCAUCAUCUCUGUUUGUAUAAGGAUAAUAUAUGUUCUAAGGUCACAUUGGGAUUCAGAAGACAUAGGAGUAUGCUGACAUCCACACAGUAUGACCCUGAUGGGAAAUUCUAUAUUUGAUGAAAGUCCAACUUUGUAUUGUGUAAGAAUUGGGGAUAUAAGGAGCUGUCCGGGAUUCAUUCGGUAGUGCGUAUUCGAGGAUACCACUCGGCUUUGUUGUCUCUCGUUUGCGGGUGGCAAUAAACUCUCCAUCUAUACUUGACCUGGACUCCCCGAUUCCUCUUGCUUUUUAGCUAGUUGAAGUGAAUUAGAUAAGUUAUUAUUAAUGCUACAACAAGAGCUAAGAAGAAGAGACUUGAUGAUGCUAUUUCUGGCUCAAGCCCUGAACAAAGCAAAUCUCCCUCCCCAAAUAGUGCCUGCCCUGCUGUACACCCUGGCUCAGGUGUUUACACAAAGUUCUUAGAUGAGCUGAACCAAAACUUGGAAGUGCAGCCUUGAUGGUGCAAGAGAAAUUUCACAAGAGAUUUAUCCCCAAGUCAGCAACCACCAGUCUCCCAAAGCCCAUCCUGGACUACCGAACACCAGACAGUCUGUCAGCCAGAGACCUGCAUGGUUUGUGUGAGCAGUUCAAGAUGCCAGAUCUGACCCCUGCUCAUAUAGCAGCCGUAGAGCGAGAGACCAGGAAGCAAGCAGCCUCAAGGAUAUGGUUCAGGCAGAGAGCAGGAUAACAGCGUCCAAGCUUAAACAAGCCAUUCGGACAAAUGCAGACAAGCCAGCAAAAAGCCUUAUCAAGGCAAUCUGUUACCCGGAAUCAAACAGAUUCUCUACUGCAGCUACAAGGUAUGGAUGUAAGCAUGAGGCACAGGCACGGAAGGACUACGAAAAAAUUAUGAGAGAGUUACAUGACGGCUACUCUAUAGCAGAUUCUGGCCUUUGUCUCAAUGCAAAGUUGCCCUUCAUGAGAGCGUCACCAUAUGGGAUUGUUGUAUACAGUUGUCACGGAACUGGAGUGUGUGAAAUCAAGUGCCCACAUUGUCAUCAGGACAAGGAGAACAUCAGAGCUUGUGCCGGAGAAAAGGGUUUCUGCCUGGCGAAGGACGGUGACAAGAUAAAGCUGGACAGAUCACAUGCCUACUACUAUCAAAUUCAAGCACAGCUCUUUAUCUUGCAAGUAGACUACUGUGAUUUUAUUGUAUGGAACAAGAAUUACAUUUUUAUAGAGAGAAUUUGCCUGACGUGGAGUUUUGGGAUAGCGUCAUCCCUAAGGCUGAAAUCUUUUUUCAGAAAUGUAUCCUCCCUGAAGUUUUGGCAAAGAAAUUCACCAAGCAAGUUUCUGCAUCUCUGCUCUCUACUAGCAGAUCUCCUUAGAAGUGAAAAAAACGCAGGAUACAUUUUAAUAGUUCAGUGUUUUAUUUACAUUUGUUUGCUUGAAGUAUAGCCUUUCCAUUAUUUUGCUAGAAUGGUCCAUCAUAUAAUAUUUCUCCCUUCUUAUUGAUGCCACGAAUUUGAGACUUAUAAUGCCACAGACAGUACUAGUGUAAUAUAAUGUACAUAGUAUUUUUGUAUCAAAAAUAAUUAUAUUGUAAAUUAAGACCAUACGGUUCGGUCAAAAAACAGUCGGCAGGGGGGAUAUCACUAUCAAGGAAAAGGGUAAUAUUACAUUUUAGCAACUAAGUGUAGUCUUGUAGUGGACUGUAAUUCACCAUACUGUGUUAUUGACAUGUUUUCGUUUUGCGCUGUCCCUAAGAGAUUGCGCGUCUUUUUUGAUUGAUAUGCCGGUCGGUGCGCGGAUUAACUUUUAUCGCAAUUUCUACAAUCUAUCGACAAAGUCUUACCAGGGAGAGUGUCGACGGCGGGAUUGUUAAAACAGUCGGAACUGGGAUAUCAAGAUAAGAUGCGCCUAAAUGUUUUUCAUUAAUCUGUGUUAGCAUUCCUGUUUGUACUACUGUAGAGCAUCCAUAUGUAGUACCCUAAUGUAAAUAACACAGUCCAAAACAAAUGUCUGCAUGAAAUAUUUAUUUCAAAUAAAACACUGCCAGAUUACCUACAA